ACAAAGGCAAAAUUAGUAAAUGUAACCAGCACCAAAACGAAAAAGAAAAAUCUAGUAGAUCUUUGUAUUUUUGUGAUUUGUUAACACUGAUGAUUCCUGUUUGUUCUUAAUUGUCAAAUAAAAUCAUGAUACACAAAGUGCACUAUUGAACAAUGAAGUCGUCUCUGAGAAUAAGGUUGUUGGUCGACAGGAGCUGGUGGUUCACUGACGUUGGGGAUGGAGAAAGUGAGAACCAUAGAUAGCUACACUUUUUCUUAGAAUAUUAUCUUCCAUUAUAAAGUAAAAAAAAUGUUGGCUUCGCUUUUUGUAGUAGUUAGUACUCUUCUGGUGUGGGACUAGCUAGCUAACAUGUAACAGCUCAGAUUAAUUUACGUUUAGCUUUUACAAAAAAUAGCAACUCAGACGCUGUCCAUGAUAAGUUUCUAGUCAAAAGGAAAAGUUCCUUAACACAAAUUUCAAGCUAUGAAUUGAUAGAGUUGAUCUCAUAUGAGACAACCCCUCCAAAAAUAGGCGUAUGCCGCUUGGUACGACAAGCACACGGUAUUCUUUAGUAAAAGGCGAAAGAAUAGUUCGCUAUGUGCUUAUCGCACGGCUCCGUGACCACUGACAAUAGGCUCGCUCCAUAUUAUAUAUGUCUAUCUCUCAGUGCCUUGCUCCGUAUAUUUACGAUGUGGGACUAAAACCUAUGCAAAAAAUAUAUGGCCUCUCCUUUCUUCAUUUACGCAUGUCAUUAAACCCAAUUGAAUAACUAUGUCCCUUUAUAUAACUUUCCCGGUUUCCCCUUCUCAUAGUUGUGUGGUGUCACUUAGAACUAAAUUUAGAAUAAUAAGACUAGGGACGAUACAGACACUGUGUAAAAAUCCGAAAACUUUGCUAGUACAUAGGUUUCCGUCGUACUUUCAGAGAAGUACACUGUUGAUAUUCUUUUUCUUUCUUUAAUCAAUUUUGCAGUACACAAAGUCUCUGUCGUUUUAUUUGUACUACACAAAACGUUAAUGAUUGUAACUAAACUUGUGUACUACACACUCCUUUCGUAAUGUGUGUAUAUAACAAGUUCACAUAAGUUACGAAGAACAUUAUUGCUGGUUUAAAAGAGAGAAAAAUAUCUUCGAGGGUAGAGGACCUCGACAGGGUGGACAUGAGAACACAUGUGUAUUCAAAGGCUGUAAUGACGCCACGUCACUGUAACGUACAUCUCUCUUUUCAUGUGUUCUCAGGUCACCCCUGCUGAGCUCUUUCUCUACCAUCCAUCUUUAUCAAUGCUCGGUGGCUUCACUCAUUCACCAAAUGGGACAAAUAAUUCUGGAGUACGUAGUUUCUAUCUGCAGUGUGGUUACAAGUUAAAUGGGACAAAGAAGAUGAAACUCACGUUACGCACCUACCUUAACUUCACAAGUCAUCAACACACCUUUACCAAAUCAUACCAUCCACAAAUCCCCCCACCCAAAAAAGAGAAACAAAAUGGCACAACAGAAUCACCGGUUUGGUUCACUUUCUCUUCCAUCCAAACUCUCCGAUUCCAACAACUAAACCUAACCUAGGCCAAACUAAAAGACUAAGCCCUGCAAGAACAAACAGAACACACUACUAAUUAACUCCAUUUUUCUUCAAAGGAAAAUCUUCGCGAAGCCAAUGAACCUAUCUAUCUAGAAUUGUUCACCAAUCACCACAGAAACAGCAAACAAUAUCUCUUGAUACCAUCCAUAUGAUAAACCGUUUCAAACUAAACUCUCAUAUGAUCCAUAUAAUUGAUUCUUAGCGAUGCCUCCGGUUUAAGAUACUUCUAGAUAGGAAAAAGAGCUCACCACUAAAGCUCCUCGUCAUCAACCAAAGCCAUCACAGGGAUUCCUUUAGUAGUAAAACUUGUACAUUUCACCUGCAACGCGUCUCCAAUCUCAAACUCUGUCUCUUCCUCUCCCUGUACUCAUUCAUACAUAAUACUAGUAAGCAAACAACACAAGACAAGUAUUAACCAUGUGGGAGAACAAAGUGAAAGAGGAUGAUGUUUUAAAACAUACCUCAAAUUUGUACAUCCCGCGGAUUCCACCACCUAAAUCAAGAACUAAUCCAUGCGUUCGAACCUGGUGGACUUUAGCUGUCAUCUCUGUUCCUAUCUUCAGUUUCCGAGCACUAACCGAGGCACUCUCUCCAGCCUCGUCCCCUGAUUGUUUCUUCUUCCUAGAAGGUUUCUUCAGUGUCUCACCAUAGUUAGCCAUAGUUUCUUCUGGACCAGUGGACUUGAAUACCUCCACUUCCUUCUGUGUCACAGUCUGCUUAGAGGCAGUGGAUUUGAGUUUCCGGUCAGGCUUCAUCGUAGCAGCGCGUUUAGGUUUAGCGUUCUUUUCCACAAGAGAAGACUUCUCUGCCUCAUCACACUCUACAGCGGUGCGGAUUACAACUGCAGGAACUGCUAAUUUAGAUUUCUGAGGCGGCUCUACGACACUGGGCAGACUUGCAACUGUCUCUCCAAGACUAGACGUUUCUACAGAGACUGUGUCUUUCACCACAGGGACUUUUUCAGGACCAGAUGCUGGUUUCGGUUCAGGUUUGGGUAACAGCGCCUUGAGAGAUAACUUAAUGUUACCGCGGACAUCGGUGUCAAUGCACAUCAUAGUGAUGUACUUGCCAAUAUGUAAUACAUCUGAAACCUUCGAGACCUGAUAAAAUUGUAAUAAGACAGUAGUAAGUUAAACGGAAAAUAAGCGACCACAGUUUAUCAUUAUCA